rnacentral:sRNA from 1 species
ACUCAACAGGAAUUCUUUAAAAAGGGUGAGUUGAAGUUGUAAAAGCGCGCCGUCUUAGAGCGGAUACUUGACCAGCUUGUUAGCCCUAAACAUUCAUUUUAAGGAGUUU